UACGUAGGGUGCAAGCGUUAUCCGGAAUUAUUGGGCGUAAAGAGCCCGUAGGCGGUUUGUCGCGUCUGCUGUGAAAACCCGAGGCUCAACCUCGGGCCUGCAGUGGGUACGGGCAGACUAGAGUGCGGUAGGGGAGAUUGGAAUUCCUGGUGUAGCGGUGGAAUGCGCAGAUAUCAGGAGGAACACCGAUGGCGAAGGCAGAUCUCUGGGCCGUAACUGACGCUGAGGAGCGAAAGCGUGGGGAGCGAACAGG
rnacentral:rRNA from 1 species